rnacentral:rRNA from 1 species
GCGCGCUACACUGAUACACACAACAAGUUUUCCUAACUUGAAAGGGUCGGGUAAUCUUUUGAAAGUGUAUCGUGAUGGGGAUAGACGAUUGCAAUUAUUCGUCUUGAACGAGGAAUUCCUAGUAAGCGCAAGUCAUUAGCUUGUGCUGAUUACGUCCCUGCCCUUUGUACACACCGCACGUCGCCUCAAUCGACUGGAUGCUCCGGUGAACAAUACGGACAA